UACGGAGGGGGCAAGCGUUGUUCGGAAUUGAUCUGGGGUCGGUAAAGGGCGCGCAGGCGGCUGCUCAAAGUCAGGCGUGAAAAGGCCUGGGCUCAACCCGGGAAUUGCGCUUGGAGACUGGGCUGGCUUGGAGUGCGGGAGAGGAUGGUGGAAUUCCCGAGUGUAGAGGUGAAAUUCGUAGAUAUUGGGAAGAACACCGGUGGCCGAAGGCGGCCAAUCUGGACCCGGCAACUGACGCUGAGGCGCGGAAAAGCGUGGGGAGCAAACAGGG
rnacentral:rRNA from 1 species